rnacentral:rRNA from 1 species
GUCCACGCCGUAAACGAUGCUAACUCGUUUUUGGAUUUUCGGAUUCAGAGACCAAGCGAAAGUGAUAAGUUAGCCACCUGGGGAGUACGUCCGCAAGGAUGAAACUCAAAGGAAUUGACGGGGGCCCGCACAAGCGGUGGAUUAUGUGGUUUAAUUCGAUGAUACGCGAGGAACCUUACCAAGACUUAAAUGGGAAAUGACAGGUUUAGAAAUAGACCCUUCUUCGGACAUUUUUCAUGGUGCUGCAUGGUUGUCGU